GAUGAACGCUGGCGGCGUGCCUAAUACAUGCAAGUCGAGCGAACAGACGAGGAGCUUGCUCCUCUGACGUUAGCGGCGGACGGGUGAGUAACACGUGGAUAACCUACCUAUAAGACUGGGAUAACUUCGGGAAACCGGAGCUAAUACCGGAUAAUAUAUUGAACCGCAUGGUUCAAUAGUGAAAGACGGUUUUGCUGUCACUUAUAGAUGGAUCCGCGCCGCAUUAGCUAGUUGGUAAGGUAACGGCUUACCAAGGCAACGAUGCGUAGCCGACCUGAGAGGGUGAUCGGCCACACUGGAACUGAGACGCGGUCCAGACGCCUACGGGAGGCAGCAGUAGGGAAUCUUCCGCAAUGGGCGAAAGCCUGACGGAGCAACGCCGCGUGAGUGAUGAAGGUCUUCGGAUCGUAAAACUCUGUUAUUAGGGAAGAACAAAUGUGUAAGUAACUAUGCACGUCCUGACGGUACCGAAUCAGAAAGCCACGGCUAACUACGUG
rnacentral:rRNA from 1 species